AACGAACGCUGGCGGCAGGCUUAACACAUGCAAGUCGAACGCCCCGCAAGGGGAGUGGCAGACGGGUGAGUAACGCGUGGGAAUCUACCUAGUUCUACGGAACAACAGAGGAAGACUUCUGCUAAUACCGUAUACGCCCUAAGGGGGAAAGAUUUAUCGGAAUUAGAUGAGCCCGCGUAAGAUUAGCUAGUUGGUGGGGUGAUGGCCUACCAAGGCGACGAUCUUUAGCUGGUCUGAGAGGAUGAUCAGCCACACUGGGACUGAGACACGGCCCAGACUCCUACGGGAGGCAGCAGUGGGGAAUAUUGGACAAUGGGCGCAAGCCUGAUCCAGCCAUGCCGCGUGGGUGAUGAAGGCCCUAGGGUUGUAAAGCUCUUUCAGUGGGGACGAUAAUGACGGUACCCACAGAAGAAGCCCCGGCUAACUUCGUGCCAGCCGCCGCGGUAAUAC
rnacentral:rRNA from 1 species